GAUGAACGCUGGCGGCGUGCUUAACACAUGCAAGUCGAACGGAAAGGCUCCUGCUUGCAGGGGUACUCGAGUGGCGAACGGGUGAGUAACACGUGGGUGAUCUGCCCUGCACUUCGGGAUAAGCCUGGGAAACUGGGUCUAAUACCGGAUAGGACGAUGGUUUGGAUGCCAUUGUGGAAAGUUUUUUCGGUGUGGGAUGAGCUCGCGGCCUAUCAGCUUGUUGGUGGGGUAAUGGCCUACCAAGGCGUCGACGGGUAGCCGGCCUGAGAGGGUGUACGUCCACAUUGGGACUGAGAUGCGGCCCAGACUCCUACGGGAGGCAGCAGUGGGGAAUAUUGCACAAUGGGCGCAAGCCUGAUGCAGCGACGCCGCGUGGGGGAUGACGGCCUUCGGGUUGUAAACUCCUUUCGCUAGGGACGAAGCGCAAGUGACGGUACCUGGAGAAGAAGCACCGGCUAACUACGUG
rnacentral:rRNA from 1 species